GCUACAUAUAGCGGUCACGGUCCUUCGAAUCGCGAGAAACGAAGGCUAAGAGGGAAGCCGGUGCGACGCCGGCGCUGCCCCCGCAACUGUUAGCGGCGAGUCUGUCGUCCAAGCAUGUCACUGAAGCCGCAGGGUUUCGGGAAGACGGACGACGGCCACGACCCGCGAGCCAGGAGACCUGCCGCGACGCCACGAACGUC
rnacentral:ncRNA from 2 species